GACGAACGCUGGCGGCGUGCUUAACACAUGCAAGUCGUACGGUAAGGCCCUUUCGGGGAUCCACGAGUGGCGAACGGGUGAGUAACACGUGAGUAACCUGCCCACAACUUUGGGAUAACGCUAGGAAACUGGUGCUAAUACUGGAUAUGUGCUCCUGCUGCAUGGUGGGGGUUGGAAAGCUCCGGCGGUUGUGGAUGGACUCGCGGCCUAUCAGCUUGUUGGUGGGGUAGUGGCCUACCAAGGCGGCGACGGGUAGCCGGCCUGAGAGGGUGACCGGCCACAUUGGGACUGAGAUACGGCCCAGACUCCUACGGGAGGCAGCAGUGGGGAAUAUUGCACAAUGGGCGCAAGCCUGAUGCAGCAACGCCGCGGGCGGGAUGACGGCCUUCGGGUUGUAAACCGCUUUCAGCAGGGACGAAGCUUUUUGUGACGGUACCUGCAGAAGAAGCACCGGCUAACUACGUG
rnacentral:rRNA from 1 species